rnacentral:rRNA from 1 species
UAAUACGUAGGUGGCAAGCGUUGUCCGGAUUUACUGGGCGUAAAGCGUGUGCAGGCGGACCUUUAAGUAGAAAGUGAAAGGUUGGAGCUCAACUCCAACACUGCUUCCUAUACUGGGGGUCUUGAGUGUCGGAGAGGAAGAUGGAACUACACGUGUAGCGGUGAAAUGCGUUGAUAUGUGUAGGAACACCAAUGGCGAAGGCAAUCUUCUGGACGAAUACUGACGCUGAUACACGAAAGCCAAGGUAGCAAACAGGAUUAGAUACCCUGGUAGUCUUGGCCCUAAACUAUGUUCACUAGGUGUUGGGAGGUAUCUCUCAGUGCCGCAGCUAACGCAUUAAGUGAACCGCCUGGGGACUACGGCCGCAAGGUUG